AGAUAUUUUAUAUGAUAAUGUGAUGCUUAUUGCUUUUCAGAUUACUGUUUACCCCCAAAUUGUGAAAUGUGUAUUUUUAAAAACAAUAAUCUUCCUCUAUAAUCACAAUGCAAAACAAGCAGAAUAUCCAUUGUCAUUACAGAAACUAUGAUUGUAUACUUUAAAUAUUUGGAUACCCUUUUAAUGUCUAUCUUAAACCAACUUUUAAUUUAUAUAUACCAAGAGAAUACACUUAUUAGUUGAAAAAUAUAUUGGUUCUACCUACCUACUACUUUUAAUACACAACAUGAUAGUUUGUGUCUUCUUCCUAGUAGCACAAUUGUAAGGACAGGAACACAAAAGACGUAUUAGGGAGGUAAAGUAAGUACCAGAAAAAUUUUCUUAGCCUUUGUUUGUAAUUUUUUUAUCUCUCCUUUGAUUACACGCUUCAACUGAUUUGUCCUGUUUCACUACCCUUUCAGUCUAUUCCUACCUAAAACUUUUGAGCUUUGGAGCAAGGUCAGGUAUACCAUAUUAUCUAUUGUUGCUACUGAAUUAGUUUAAAUUACAGGUGAAAAAAA
rnacentral:lncRNA from 1 species